rnacentral:tRNA from 1 species
GGGCGAUUGGCGCAGUUGGCUAGCGCGUCACAUUGACAUUGUGAAGGUCAUAGGUUCAAGUCCUAUAUCGCCCA